CAGUGUGCCAACGAGAGCAUCCCCCUGAAGCUCCCAUUCUUUGUGUGCCUAUGAAAUGUCCCCACCAAGGUUUCAGCUCUCCAGUGUGGCGACGAGGAGGCUGACACCACCACUGAACUUGUUCCUGAGUAGGUCAAAGCUGCCUCCACUCCAGUUCCUGUACAGCUCGACACCACCAUUGUCCCUGUUCCUGAGUGGGUUGACACCACCUCUGGUCCUGUCCCCAAGUGGGUCAAUGUCUCAGCCAUCCCAAUUCCUGCAUCAUGGCGAGUCAACAAUGAUGCCACUCCUCCUGUCCCUGUAACUCAGUGGGUUGAUGACAAUGCUACAAUUCUUGUACCUGACUCCAGUCUGUUUACCCUGCCUUGUUCCUUGACCAUCCUCCACGGACUGUUCUCCUCCAGACUAUUACUCCACUCCACCCUUCCACAGUCAUCAGAUCCUAUCUACCACCCACCGGCCAGACCGGGAGUGACCCUAGCGUCUGUAGCUCAGCCUAUCUCAUCAUUUCCAUCUGUCAUCUGUUAUUCUCUGCUAGCUGAUCAGAACCCGGUCCUACAUUUCCUAGUUGUUUCCUUAUCAUGUCUCUUAUAUAUAUUGUACAGCACAAAAUAAAUUCUGCUUGCACUGAA